rnacentral:rRNA from 1 species
ACACGACUCUCGGCAACGGAUAUCUCGGCUCUCGCAUCGAUGAAGAACGUAGCGAAAUGCGAUACCUGGUGUGAAUUGCAGAAUCCCGCGAACCAUCGAGUCUUUGAACGCAAGUUGCGCCCGAGGCCAUUAGGCCGAGGGCACGCCUGCCUGGGCGUCACGC